GCAUAUUAUAUAUAUCCUGUUGUUCCCGAGAUCACAGUGUAGUUCGCACAUGGCCAGUUCGACUCACUAACCGUAGAACGAUGCAUGGAACAGUUGUUGCCGCGUAAAAAAAUUAUACUUGGAAUCUUUUCUGCAUACCUUUUACAAUCUUCAAAAAUAAUCUAAUAUACCCAUAAUGUAGGACUCGAUGUGUAAUUGCGUGACAAUUUUAAAACAACUAUACGAAUUAAAGUAAUUUUCAAAUAA